rnacentral:rRNA from 1 species
GACGAACGCUGGCGGCGUGCUUAACACAUGCAAGUCGAACGGAAAGGCCCUGCUUUUGUGGGGUGCUCGAGUGGCGAACGGGUGAGUAACACGUGAGUAACCUGCCCUUGACUUUGGGAUAACUUCAGGAAACUGGGGCUAAUACCGGAUAGGAGCUCCUGCUGCAUGGUGGGGGUUGGAAAGUUUCGGCGGUUGGGGAUGGACUCGCGGCUUAUCAGCUUGUUGGUGGGGUAGUGGCUUACCAAGGCUUUGGCGGGUAGCCGGCCUGAGAGGGUGACCGGCCACAUUGGGACUGAGAGACGGAGCAGACUCCUACGGGAGGCAGCAGUGGGGAAUAUUGCACAAUGGGCGGAAGCCUGAUGCAGCAACGCCGCGUGCGGGAUGACGGCCUUCGGGUUGUAAACCGCAUUAGCCUGUGACGAAGCGUGAGUGACGGUAAUGGGUAAAGAAGCACCGGCUAACUACGUG